AGUGAACGCUGGCGGCAGGCCUAACACAUGCAAGUCGAACGGCAGCACAGUAAGAGCUUGCUCUUACGGGUGGCGAGUGGCGGACGGGUGAGGAAUACAUCGGAAUCUACUUUUUCGUGGGGGAUAACGUAGGGAAACUUACGCUAAUAACGCAUACGACCUACGGGUGAAAGCAGGGGAUCUUCGGACCUUGCGCGAUUGAAUGAGCCGAGGUCGGAUUAGCUAGUUGGCGGGGUAAAGGCCCACCAAGGCGACGAUCCGUAGCUGGUCUGAGAGGAUGAUCAGCCACACUGGAACUGAGACACGGUCCAGACUCCUACGGGAGGCAGCAGUGGGGAAUAUUGGGCAAUGGGCGCAAGCCUGAUCCAGCCAUACCGCGUGAGUGAAGAAGGCCUUCGGGUUGUAAAGCCCUUUUGUUGGGAAAGAAAAGCAGCAGGUUAAUACCCCGCUGUUCUGACGGUACCCAAAGAAUAAGCACCGGCUAACUUCGUG
rnacentral:rRNA from 1 species